GGUAAAAUGGUCGAAUUUUAGGCGAUAAAUUGUAAAUUUAUUUAUGGUUAAACCUUUUACUA
rnacentral:tRNA from 1 species